CCUUCCCCAUACAAUGCUCCCGCGGCCCCCAGCUCCUAGCCCAGCGCGCACCUCCUUGCACGAUCCACCCUGGCGCUGCUGCCUCCCGGAGCGCAAGGAGGCCGAGCGGAAUUUCCCAGGCCAAGCAGGCUAGAUCCGGAGACCCACAAAACAGACCCACCAUCAGCUGAGAGCCAGGAGGCACGGGGAGGGCAGUGCUGCCUGAGGACAGGCGGGACUGCUACGCGCGCGGGCUGGAGAGUCCUGGUGUCUGAGCCCAGACUCCCCGACUGCGCAGCAGCCUCAGCAACCUGGUGUGCCAAGCUACUGCGCUCUCCUCCCAAGUGCUAAAGGAUUUCACAGGCAGCAAUAUAGGAGGGCCUCCCUGGUCCAGGUGCAGUGGUUAAAGACAGCGCUAUCAAGCUAUGGCCAGCCACUGCAGCAGGAGUUGGAUUCCUGGCCGGCCAGACAGCAACCCACAUGGCACAGCAGACCUCAUCUGCCUCACCAGCUGCUGAGCAGUGUGUUUCAGUAGAUCUGCCUCUUCUGCCCCCCACUCUGUUUCUGGUGAAUCCUCUCACCCUCAGCACCUCUGGCUUAUA